rnacentral:rRNA from 1 species
UACGAAGGGGGCUAGCGUUGUUCGGAAUUACUGGGCGUAAAGCGCACGUAGGCGGAUCGAUCAGUCAGGGGUGAAAUCCCGAGGCUCAACCUCGGAACUGCCUUUGAUACUGGGGAUCUGGAGUCCGGGAGAGGUGAGCGGAACUGCGAGUGUAGAGGUGAAAUUCGUAGAUAUUCGCAAGAACACCAGUGGCGAAGGCGGCUCACUGGCCCGGAACUGACGCUGAGGUGCGAAAGCGUGGGGAGCAAACAGG